CACGUAGGGUGCGAGCGUUGUCCGGAAUUAUUGGGCGUAAAGAGCUCGUAGGCGGUGUGUCGCGUCGGCCGUGAAAACCUGCAGCUUAACUGUGGGCUUGCGGUCGAUACGGGCAUCACUGGAGUUCGGUAGGGGAGACUGGAAUUCCUGGUGUAGCGGUGAAAUGCGCAGAUAUCAGGAGGAACACCGGUGGCGAAGGCGGGUCUCUGGGCCGAAAUUGACGCUGAGGAGCGAAAGCGUGGGGAGCAAACAGG
rnacentral:rRNA from 1 species